UUUAGAGGAAAUGGAUGGUAGAGAAACAUACAGCACUGCUACAUAAUAAUUUGUCAGUACGUCCAACCGGCCUCACAACUGCAGACCACGUGUAACCACGCCAGCCCAGGACCUCCACAUCCAGUUUCUUCACCUGUGGGAUCAUUCUGAUUGGCUGGGCCUGGCUCCCCAGUGGGUGGAACUGGCUGCCAAGUGGUUAUGCCCUCCCAGGCCCAGCCGUGGCUGCACCCCUGCCCAGUCAUGUGAAAUCCAUAGAUUAGGGCUAAAUUAAUU
rnacentral:lncRNA from 1 species